CCUACGGGAGGCAGCAGUGGGGGAUAUUGCACAAUGGGGGGAACCCUGAUGCAGCGACGCCGCGUGAGUGAAGAAGUAAUUCGUUAUGUAAAGCUCUAUCAGCAGGGAAGAAUAAAUGACGGUACCUGAGUAAGAAGCCCCGGCUAACUACGUGCCAGCAGCCGCGGUAAUACGGAGGGGGCAAGCGUUAUCCGGAUUUACGGGGUGUAAAGGGAGCGUAGACGGCGAUGCAAGCCAGAUGUGAAACCCCGCGGCUCAACUGCGGUAGUGCAUUUGGAACUGUAGGGCUGGAGUGCAGGAGAGGAAGGCGGAAUUCCUAGUGUAGCGGUGAAAUGCGUAGAUAUUAGGAGGAACACCAGUGGCGAAGGCGGCUUGCUGGACUGUAACUGACGUUGAGGCUCGAAAGCGUGGGGAGCAAACAGGAUUAGAUACCCCUGUAGUC
rnacentral:rRNA from 1 species